CAAUGGUGGGCUUGUGAAGCGUGUCAGGUCUGGAAGGAAGCAGCACUAAGCAGGUUCCGCCAUGUG
rnacentral:sRNA from 1 species